UACGUAGGGUGCGAGCGUUAAUCGGAAUUACUGGGCGUAAAGCGUGCGCAGGCGGUUGGGCAAGACCGAUGUGAAAGCCCCGGGCUUAACCUGGGAAUGGCAUUGGUGACUGCUCGGCUAGAGUGUGUCAGAGGGGGGUAGAAUUCCACGUGUAGCAGUGAAAUGCGUAGAGAUGUGGAGGAAUACCGAUGGCGAAGGCAGCCCCCUGGGAUAACACUGACGCUCAGGCACGAAAGCGUGGGGAGCAAACAGG
rnacentral:rRNA from 1 species